UUACAUACCUGGACGGGGUCAAUGGGCGAUCAAGAAGGCUCAUGGCCUAGGUUGCUGGCCCCAUUGCACGUAAAGGAGGUGCAGCAGCCUAAGAUCUCCCCUUGUUGGGAGAUUCUACGUCAUAAUUUAUGGUUAAGGGGGCCUGUGUUCGCGCGGCCCCUG